rnacentral:rRNA from 1 species
UGCCUAACACAUGCAAGUCGAGCGAACUUCUUCGGAAGUGAGCGGCGGACGGGUGAGUAACGCGUGGGUAACCUGCCCUAUACACACGGAUAACGUACCGAAAGGUACGCUAAUACGAGAUAAUAUGUUUUUAUCGCAUGGUAAAAAUAUCAAAGCUCCGGCGGUAUAGGAUGGACCCGCGUCUGAUUAGCUAGUUGGUAAGGUAACGGCUUACCAAGGCGACGAUCAGUAGCCGACCUGAGAGGGUGAUCGGCCACAUUGGAACUGAGACACGGUCCAAACUCC